rnacentral:rRNA from 1 species
UGGGGAAUAUUGCACAAUGGGCGCAAGCCUGAUGCAGCCAUGCCGCGUGUGUGAAGAAGGCCUUCGGGUUGUAAAGCACUUUCAGCGGGGAGGAAGGCGUUAAGGUUAAUAACCUCAUCGAUUGACGUUACCCGCAGAAGAAGCACCGGCUAACUCCGUGCCAGCAGCCGCGGUAAUACGGAGGGUGCAAGCGUUAAUCGGAAUUACUGGGCGUAAAGCGCACGCAGGCGGUCUGUCAAGUCGGAUGUGAAAUCCCCGGGCUCAACCUGGGAACUGCAUUCGAAACUGGCAGGCUAGAGUCUUGUAGAGGGGGGUAGAAUUCCAGGUGUAGCGGUGAAAUGCGUAGAGAUCUGGAGGAAUACCGGUGGCGAAGGCGGCCCCCUGGACGAAGACUGACGCUCAGGUGCGAAAGCGUGGGGAGCAAACAGG